rnacentral:rRNA from 1 species
UAAUACGGAGGAUGCGAGCGUUAUCCGGAUUUAUUGGGUUUAAAGGGUGCGUAGGCUGUUAUGUAAGUCAGUGGUAAAAGGUACAGGCUUAACUUGUAUAUGCCAUUGAAACUGUAUAGCUAGGAUAUGGAUGAAGUGUGCGGAAUGUGUGGUGUAGCGGUGAAAUGCAUAGAUAUCACACAGAACACCGAUAGCGAAGGCAGCACACUAAGGCAAUAUUGACGCUGAGGCACGAAAGUGUGGGGAUCAAACAGG